CAACUGCCUCCACAUCUCUGAGCAACAGGGGAACUGGCUAUAGACCCCACCAAGAUGAGAAGAGAGAAUGAAGUACUCUUGGUCGAAGCACCAGGUGAUUGGAUAAAGCUUGCAUAUCCAAUUAGAAAUUAGGAAGAAUUACAGGUGAAUUAUUUCCUCUGUUCCUUGUUUCUAAGCCCUUACCCCAUGAGUUAUCUGGGGCUAGGGGAUUCAGCUGGAGUACCAAUUGAGCUGAGAGCUCUUGGGAUGCAAGGAAACAACUGCCUACUUCAGGCUUUGUUCCAAGUUGUGGAGAUUCUGGACUUCCAAGAAUUUACUCUAUUGAUGGGAGUAUAGCCCAACUGACAGUGUUUGCUGAGCAUGUAUGAGCCGCUGGAUUUGGACCCUAGCAUCCCAUAAACUGGGCGUGGAAGUACAUGUCUGUAAUCUUGAUACUCGGGAGGUGAAGGCAAGGUCAUCAUCACUUAAAGUCUGUACUACAUGAGACCUUUUCUGGAAAAGAAAAAAAAAAGUCUAUUCUAUUGUGAAAAGAUGUAGAAAUCAGUCAGGGAGCUGUAGAAAAUGAAAUGAUUUGAAAAUAAUUUUCAUUACUAUGAUUUCUUGAAUGCGUGGCAAAUUAGUUGUAACAAUGACAGAAAACUUUUAAACAAAUGAGAAUUAAUUUAAUAUACCACAUCGAAAAUUUGUUCAGUGAAAAUUAUGACACGUUAGGAGAAUCAUGAUAGGGGAGAAAAUGGAAAGCUGAUUUCUUGCAUUGCUGGAAAGGUUUAAAAAUAGGCAAACUGGCUGUUGCUAGAUUAUCAUAACCUAAUGAAGCGUUUAGCGGGAACUGGGGACUGGAAAUGAAAGGCACCUGGGGAAAACCCGGCCAAGAACGCACAGCUGAGGUUAUCAAGACAAUGGUGGCGAUGACAAUAUCGGGACACGCUUAGAGUAAUGACGGGAGAGUUGCUUAACGCUGAGAACCACUCAGUGCCAUUACUCAAUCUGAAUGCUUGGAGAAAAAAACCGGCCACAGACGUACCACGCGUGAGCAAGUGGUACUACCGACAGGCAGAGUAUGAAAAAUGAAAACAAGCCAAUAGUGCCGAACACAAUCUCAGAAUAAGAAACACCAUUGAGACGCCAGUUUCAUGCUUCAUUCUCCCCCCACUCCCCAUGCAGAGAAGACAACAAAAGCAGAAGCCAGGAGGAGAGGGAGCCAUACAUUAAUCCCAGUGAGAGAAGGCAUCCUGUACAUUGAGGAAAUAGAGAGUGUCAUUAGGAACAAGAUCACAUUUGUCAAACGCACAGCAUUGGAAGGCAAGGCUUUACAGAAGGAAUUGUGAUAAAACAAGAGAGAAUGGAGAGAAACGUGGUGGAAAGUGGAUUUCAGGCAAAAGUACUUGAAGCAACACGUACAAAAAUAUAUUGAGAAAUGCCAUGCAUGUUUUUUUUUUUUUAAACAAAUAGAUGCAACUUGCACAUUGCUCUGCUGCAGAUACAGAAGGUAGUACGCAUGGUACUAUUUUCUAUCCUUAUGGUAGGGAGAAUCAUACCCGUGCAUCUGUAACCUUUUAGGACACAGGGGGCUUUGUAAAUGUGCUUACAUGAAGGUGGGAGGAUUGUUCUGGAUGACCCAUGUGGCUCUGACAUAAGCAUAAGGAUCCUUACAAAGGAAAGAAAGAGAAGGAAGGGUCAAAGGAGGAAAGAGAAAGGUAGAGGUGGAGAUUGGAAAUAUUACACCUUUUGAUUUGAAGAUGAAGGAAAAGACCAGGAAUCAAGAGAUACAAGUAGUCACUGGAGGCUGAAGAGAAACCCAAAUUAGACUCUUUUCAGAUAUUCCAGAAGACUAUAGUCCUGGUGACCCAGAGGCUCUGAUUUCUAGAACUGUGAGAAAAUAAAUUUACUUUUUAAAGCUA